rnacentral:rRNA from 2 species
AAACCAACAGGGAUUGCCCUAGUAACGGCGAGUGAAGCGGCAACAGCUCAAAUUUGAAAUCUGGCCUUCGGGUCCGAGUUGUAAUUUGUAGAGGAUGCUUUUGGCGCGGUGCCUUCCGAGUUCCCUGGAACGGGACGCCUUAGAGGGUGAGAGCCCCGUACGGUUGGACACCAAGCCUCUGUAUAGCUCCUUCGACGAGUCGAGUAGUUUGGGAAUGCUGCUCUAAAUGGGAGGUAAAUUUCUUCUAAAGCUAAAUAUUGGCCAGAGACCGAUAGCGCACAAGUAGAGUGAUCGAAAGAUGAAAAGCACUUUGAAAAGAGGGUUAAAUAGCACGUGAAAUUGUUGAAAGGGAAGCGUUUGCGACCAGACCUUUUCCUAGCGGAUCAUCCGGUGUUCUCACCGGUGCACUUCGCUAGGUUUAGGCCAGCAUCGGUUUCUGUAGGGGGAUAAAAGCUCUGGGAACGUAGCUCCUUCGGGAGUGUUAUAGCCCUCUGCAUAAUACCUUUACGGGGACCGAGGACCGCGCUUCGGCAAGGAUGCUGGCGUAAUGGUCGUCAACGAC